UACGGGGGGAGCAAGCGUUGUUCGGAAUUACUGGGCGUAAAGGGCUCGUAGGCGGCCAACUAAGUCAGACGUGAAAUCCCUCAGCUUAACUGGGGAACUGCGUCUGAUACUGGAUGGCUUGAGUUUGGGAGAGGGAUGCGGAAUUCCAGGUGUAGCGGUGAAAUGCGUAGAUAUCUGGAGGAACACCGGUGGCGAAGGCGGCAUCCUGGACCAAUACUGACACUGAGGAGCGAAAGCCAGGGGAGCAAACGGG
rnacentral:rRNA from 1 species